GCUGAAUUUGAGGUCUGAUGGAAUCAAUCUUGGACUGAAAAAGUUUGUUAUGAACGGAAGGUGAAGUUCCGUAAUUGCACAAUUUUUGAAUGAGGCUUUAAAAGGCAUUCACUUCCAAAAAUCAGCCACUACAAUUUCAGAUCGAUUACAUCCUAUAUGGCACAUUGGAGGCGGAAUGAGAUUGUGUCGGAUUAAGAAUAAGUCAAGCCUGGAAUCAAGUCCAAGCAGGUUCCUGACAUACCAAAUCUAGUUCUUGAACAUUGGUGUGCGGACCUCAUCACCUUUCAUCUACGUAAACCCUCAAGAACGACGCUGGAAGCCACUACAUAAAUGUCCACCCAACAUCAAAAUCACAUAUUUGCCGGAUAAACGGUAUCGUCCAUACUUCGAGACGUCCCUGUCUCUAGAUAACGAAGAUAACACUCCUAAAUGACAGGGAUAACUGGUACCUUUUGAAUGCAUCCUUUCAAUCCUUUCCUAAUGGGAAUGUAGGGUGAAACGAGUCUGAACGUGGGAACCCCUCCCAGGUACAUGUUUUGGUUGGCU